AUUUAUUUAUUUAUUUUGGGAGAGAGAGAUAAAACAUGCUCGGGCACACACAUGCGUGCACAGGCAGGGUAGGGGCUGAGACAGAGAGGGAGAGAGAGAAUACCAAGCAGGCUCUAUGCUGUUAGCACAGAGCCUGACUCGAGGCUGGAUCUCACAAAUUGUGAGAUCACGACCUGAGCUGAAAUCAAGAGUGAGAUGCUUAGCCGACUGAGCCAUCCAGGUGCCCUGUGCUUUCUAAAAAUUCUUUGAAUUGUGGGUCCCCUUUUUCUGGCCAGAGUAUACUCUAUUGGGUGAUGAUUUUGCAUAAACUAUGGUGAGAUGCUGUUCAGAACUAGUACCACAAGCUGGGAGAAGGUAUCUGUUGGCAUGAAAACCAUGAACUUCCAAACUUAAAUAUCUGAGUGCUUUGUUAACCUGGAUAAAUAUGCCAAUGGAUAUGGCUGACCCUAAGUUAAUGAGGCACUCAGGAAAUGGGGUAUAUUUGGAGGGUCCACAUUUCUGAAUGGCUAAGGUUAUUCAGAUUAUAUUCGUUGUAAAUCAGUCUAAAGAAUAUCCGCCUGCUUCUCAGCCUUAACCCUAAAUAGUGAAUUCAACAGAUUUCUUUUUUUCAUUUAGUGUCCCGAAAAGCAUGGGACUGCCAUAUUACAGGUUUCUUUUUUAUACAGUUUGGAGCUGAGUGAUUGGAUAAAGAUAGGCAGGUCCCUAGGAAAGCACCUAAUAGUUGUUUUUAGAAUGAAUUUUUAAGCCUAUUUUACAUCUCUGUUGAAAUUCUUCGUUCAUGCAUUGUUCUUUUAGAAUUAAUUGGGGUGGAGUUUGCUUUUGGUCAUUAGCAUCUUUGCCCUAAGAGGCAGAAUUGCCCCCACCCCCAAAAGUACUGAUUUAACUUGGAUUGUGUUAACAUUGGUAGGUUAGUAUCAACUGUUAAGUAUUUAAACAAAUUGUAAGUGACCAAAAUGAAUGAACCGAGUUAAUUAAGAACAGUAAGAUCACCAGGGAUGAUCACCUUCCAGGCAGCAGUACCAGCACCAAGUGUUCACUCAGCACCUCUCACCAGGGGCUGUUCUGAGUGUCAGGAAGGAUCAAAGAAACACAGGCAGAGAGUCUUUAAGCAGGAGACAUCAUCACCCAGCUGCUGUCAAUUGCCAGGUGGGUGAACAACAAAAGGAGGAGGGGUGUAUUAGCGUGGGGAGCACCCUGGGUUGGGGCAGGCGGCCUGGCCAAGUGCUGCUAGAGGCAAACUACUCAACAUCUCUAGACCUCAGUUUCCUCAUGUGAAAACGAGGUGUUCAACUCAAUUUCAAAAGGACCUUCAGCCUCUGAGACUCCAGAGCAGAUGUUUGUUGAAGGAGGCCUGAGGGUUUACAGCAGGAACUGUCAUUUGAUGGGUGAGUCAGACUGGGGGCAGCAGGAAAAUAAUGUCUUCACAAUCCACACAAGGGCACAGGCAAUUAGGAAACACACUUAGCUGAUGGCUUGAGUGUUUGUUCCACUCGGAGGAUAUAUUCCUGAAGAGGGACAGGGUGACUCAUCAGCCGGCUGUAACCUGAUGAAAUAGAGCUAUCCAAUUUCCUUGCUCUGAUUCCAGGCAACCAAAGGAUCUUAAUUUGGUUUUCCAAGGCAGUUUCCCCAGGCAAGCAGAGGAGUAAGUUAUGGCAAUUGGAAAUUGACCUUCUUUCGUGGGAGCAAAAUUAGAUCACGUGUGAGAAAUGACUGUGAAAUUAAAUAAAGUAGCAUUCAAAUUCAAAGAAACAGCAUUCUCAGUAAUAUCCUCAUUAGUUAUGAAUCAUUUUUGUGCUGAUUUGAUUGGCCUUUGAACCAUGUUUCUUUUUUAGAGCUAGUAAACCCUGGGUGACUCGAUAAAUAUAGACAUUCUGGGUCUGGAAAAUGAGAGGCAAAAAUUACUAACAUUUACAUGGUGCUUUACAAUUUUUUUUUAGGAUGAUUUCACAUAAAGAUCCCAGUAGCGCUGGGAGCGAGAGAAUAUUAUGUUCCUGGUCUCCAGCUCAGGAAAGCUUAGUACUAGAGAGCUAGGAAGGGUUCGAGCUUGCAGUCAAACCUAGAUCUUGGGCUUCAAAUCCUGAUUGCAGCGUGGCUUCCGAAGGGAGUGAAUGCUCUUCUCCCAGCCCCUCUCCCCAUAUUCACUGACAUUACCACAGGAGACACGUGCCAGAUCUUGAAGGGGUUGAAGCAGAAGGUAAUCUGUUCUGGAGAUCAUGAAACUGAUCUCUUUCCCUCUGCAAAUGCCACGUGAAGCGCAUUCGUAGGGCCUCUCCAGAGGCUGCCUCAUGAGGGGAGGUUCUGCUUGGCUUCCCUUUGUCCUUAGACUCAGGCUGAAUCUGCUUGCUGCAUGUGGAGAAAGUGCCCGUUCUGCUUUGGCAGAGUCUCCGGAGUGUUGGGUUCCUACCUGUCUUCAUCUGAAAGUUUGGUCUGGAUAUCCCCGCUGAAAGUGACUAGGGAUCCCCAGCUGGGACAGCUCCCCUAGAUCACCACUGUCGGAUCUAGCCCACCCAGCCUCCUGCAUCUCUGCUGCCAGAGCUGCCCGGCUCAGAUUACCAGAGGGGAGGGAGGGUGGGUAUGGAUCUCAGGAUCUGGGGCCCCAGGUGCACUGCAAGCCUGAGCUCUCCAUCUGCCUUGGCGAAACUCUGCCUGUGGCAGAGUGAGAUCUUUGUAUCCAGACCCUUCCAAUUCACGGAGGCAAGUGGAAGACUGCUCCUUGGCUGGGGAAUUUCUAAAGGCUCGGGAAAAAGAUGAACUGGCCCCAUUCCUGCAUCUCCUUUUGCUGGAUUUACUUUGCUGUCUCCAGACUGAGAGCUGUAGAAACAGCAGAUGGAAAAUAUGCUCAGAAAUUGUUUAAUGACCUUUUUGAAGAUUAUUCCAAUGCUCUUCGUCCAGUAGAAGAUACAGAUAAAGUCCUGAAUGUCACCCUGCAGAUUACACUUUCUCAGAUUAAGGACAUGGAUGAAAGAAACCAGAUUCUGACUGCCUAUUUAUGGAUCCGCCAAAUCUGGCAUGAUGCAUAUCUCACGUGGGAUCGAGACCAGUAUGAUGGACUGGAUUCCAUCAGGAUCCCCAGUGACCUGGUAUGGAGGCCAGAUAUUGUCCUAUAUAACAAGGCUGAUGACGAAUCUUCUGAGCCUGUGAACACCAACGUGGUUCUGCGGUAUGAUGGGCUAAUCACCUGGGAUGCACCAGCCAUCACCAAAAGCUCCUGUGUAGUGGAUGUCACCUAUUUCCCCUUUGAUAACCAGCAGUGCAAUCUGACCUUUGGUUCCUGGACCUACAAUGGCAACCAGGUGGACAUAUUCAAUGCCCUAGACAGUGGAGACCUCUCUGACUUCAUCGAAGAUGUGGAGUGGGAGGUCCAUGGCAUGCCUGCUGUGAAGAAUGUGAUCUCCUAUGGCUGCUGCUCUGAGCCUUACCCAGAUGUGACAUUCACUCUCCUUCUAAAGAGGAGGUCCUCAUUCUAUAUUGUCAACCUCCUCAUCCCAUGCGUCCUCAUAUCUUUUCUGGCUCCCUUGAGUUUUUAUCUCCCAGCAGCCUCUGGGGAAAAGGUCUCCUUGGGAGUGACCAUUCUGUUGGCCAUGACUGUAUUUCAGCUCAUGGUGGCAGAGAUCAUGCCAGCCUCAGAAAAUGUACCUCUGAUAGGCAAAUACUACAUAGCCACAAUGGCUUUGAUCACAGCCUCCACGGCGUUGACCAUUAUGGUGAUGAAUAUCCACUUCUGUGGGGCCGAGGCCCGGCCAGUGCCACACUGGGCCAGGGUGGUCAUCCUGAAAUACAUGUCCAGGGUCUUGUGUGUCUACGAUGUGGGUGAGAGCUGCCUUAGUCCCCGCCACAACAGGGAGCGAACCCACCUCACAAAGGUUUAUGGCAAACUUCCAGAGCCAAAUCUGAACAUGGACAGAAACAAAGACCUUCCCAGAAAGAAGGAAAUAAACAAGCUCUUAAAGAAUGAUUUGGGAUGCCAGGGUGAGAACCCACAGGAUGCUGACAGUUACUGUGCACGGUACAAAGUGCUGACAAGGAAUAUCGAGUACAUUGCCAAGUGCCUCAAAGACCACAAGGCCACCAAUUCCAAGGGGAGUGAGUGGAAGAAAGUUGCAAAAGUCAUAGACCGAUUCUUCAUGACUGGUGCAUUUCAAGUCAUUUCUCAAAUGAUGGAAUAAAGAUUUUUGUUCCAUAUAUAAAGGCAGUCUAAGAAUCAGCAGCUUCAUGGAGAGAGACAGAGCAUGAACGGGGGAGGGUCAGAGAGAGAGGAAGACACAGAAUCCGAAGCAGGCUCCAGGCUCUGAGCGGUCAGCACGGAGCCCGACGUGGGGCUCGAACUCAUGGACCUCGAGAUCAUGACUUGAGCCGAAGUCGGACGCUUAACCGACCGAACCACCCAGGCGCCCCAGGUCUGAUCUUUUUGAUCUUCACAACAAUUCUGUGAGCCAGCCAAGCAGGUAUUUCUAGUCUUUUUUGUCAGAGAAGGAAACUAUGUCAGAGGAAGGUGCAUGGAAGUGACCCACCUCCUCAACAUUCAACCAAGUGGUAAGUGGAGCUGGGAUUCAGACCCUCAUCACUGUGACUCUGAGUUUGGACCAGGCCUGCUCCAAUCACACUGCUUUUGGUCAUGAUAGAUCAUGAUUUAGGAUACAAGAGACUGAGGGAUCCUCAUUCUGAAUUCUGAUUUUCUGCCCUGAAGUACUUCCUAUGCUUUUCCACUUUUUUCCUACUUUCAAUCAAAUGUGUCAUCAAAUUCUCCCCAGACAAAUACAAUAUAGUGUCUGAAGUGUGUAGAAAUAUUGCCAAAAUGCCACGGGAAAAAUGAUGCCAAAUCUGUUUGAGGGAAAGCUUGGGAAAGACUUUGUGGGAGGUGUAACAUUUGAGCUGGGCUUUGAAGGAUGAGUAGGAGUUUGCUAGACUAAGAAAGAAGUAGGGUAGGGAUUAGAAGGCAUUAGGAAAAAGAAAAGAGGAUGAGCAGAACUUAGAACAGAGGUCUUGGUUUAUUCAUGGAAUGGAUUAUGAGGAAUUAGAGAAAUAUAACUUGGAAUCAAACCAUUUUUUUCUUCUUUAUUUUAAUUAUAGAACUAGUUUUAUCAGUUAACAGUUGUAUUUGACUAAAAAUAACAGAAAACUCACUGUCCCUUGACUUAAGCAGACAAAAGUUAUUCAUUUGCACAAAGGUAAAUCUAGAGUUACAAAGUCCAGGGACCUUUUCAUCUUUCUACUGUGAUAUUGUAAGGCACAAAUUUGUGGUAAUUUGUUAGAGCAGUAAUAGAAAGCUAAUAUAGUACCCAAUGAACAACUCUGUGUAUAUAACUUUUUCCACGUUUUAGCUUGCUUGUUUGGGAUAGAUUUACCUACAGCCAGAUUGAGAUGUUUCCACUGGGACAUGCUUAAAAAUUUUGAACUUUAUCCCCAGAACACUGGGGAGCCACAAAAGGAUUUUCAGCGAGAGAAUGAGAAUGUCAGGUUUGUUUUUCAGAAACAAGACUGUGGGGGCAGUUAGAAGAUUGUAGAGAAAGGAUAGAAAAGGCAGAGAGAUCUGUUGGCCUGUUUUUGACCAAUUCAGGGAAGUGAUAAUGAGGCUUGACCCAAGAUGGUGGAGAUAAGUGAAAGUGUCAUUCAUGACCUAAGUAUUUAUGUACUAAAUAGACAGGACAUGGUGACAGGUUGGAUGUAGGGUUAAAGACAGAGUGGUAUUGAGAAUGAUUCUGAGCUGCUACUCCAGACAACUGAGAGGAAGAGUAAAGGAGGAUUGGGCUAUGGAGGAGAGAAUUCUGUUUAGGACAUCUUGUAUGUGAAAUGCAUAUCAGACACCUGGUGGACAUGUCCAAUGAGUAGUGAACGUGUGUUUGGAAAUUUGGAGACAAGCAAAAGCUUUUACACUCAAGCUAAUUGUUACAAUAUUUACUAAGUUAUUUCAGUGGGUAAGAUGCAGUGCUACAACCUGAGAGACUGAAAUGAAUAGAAACACAUUCUUUGCCAGAAUUCCAUAAGAUUAUAACCAUUGCCUGUCAUUAAAGCAUUUACCUUGUUAUGCUGUCAUUUCUUCAUUCAUGUGUCUACUUCCCCAAGUAUACUGAGAUCCUCUCUGGCCUAGCACCCAGAAGUUCUGUCAUUCUCAUUUUACCCUUUGGGAUAAGGGUAUUCUCUUUUUAUCCUUUGUGUACAAUAAAGGGCCUAGUACAAAGUCAUUAGCCACUGAGAGACUGUUAGUGGAUGAGUAAGUGAAAGGAAGAGCUGUAAGAGUGUCCAACUGAAUGCUUUAGAAGCACAGACUGGGAAGGGGCUCCCUCCAUAGACAAUAUACCAAAAAUAAAUUCCAGAUGAAUUAUAGACUUAGAGGUAAAAACAAAUAAAAAUGAAAGGUUUAUCAGAAGAUCUAGGAGACUUCCCAAAUAAAAUUCUCCACCUCAAUACAUUUGAAAACUACAGGAAAGAGGAGUCCAGGGCUCAUGAAGAAGAGGAACAAAGGGGACUGGUUUGGAUUGGGUGGUCAGGCUGCUGAGGAAUUGGCAUUUAAGAUGAGAU